UGGGGAAUAUUGCACAAUGGGCGCAAGCCUGAUGCAGCCAUGCCGCGUGUAUGAAGAAGGCCUUCGGGUUGUAAAGUACUUUCAGCGGGGAGGAAGGUGUUGAGGUUAAUAACCUCAGCAAUUGACGUUACCCGCAGAAGAAGCACCGGCUACCUCCGUGCCAGCAGCCGCGGUAAUACGGAGGGUGCAAGCGUUAAUCGGAAUUACUGGGCGUAAAGCGCACGCAGGCGGUCUGUCAAGUCGGAUGUGAAAUCCCCGGGCUCAACCUGGGAACUGCAUUCGAAACUGGCAGGCUAGAGUCUUGUAGAGGGGGGUAGAAUUCCAGGUGUAGCGGUGAAAUGCGUAGAGAUCUGGAGGAAUACCGGUGGCGAAGGCGGCCCCCUGGACAAAGACUGACGCUCAGGUGCGAAAGCGUGGGGAGCAAACA
rnacentral:rRNA from 1 species